CAAGGUUUAAUCUUUGUCUUUUGUUUUCACCCUCAGUUCGCCGAAUAGUUUUUUUUGCCAGGGUUCUCAGCCGUAGGACUUGUUUCACAAGUGUUGUUUGGUAUUCUACCAACAAUGACGCCAAGGCUACUUUUCCCUUUUAGGGAAGCCUUUAGGUUAGUUUUGUGAUCGCCCCAUUUAGGGUAUGCGAUUUAAUUUUCUUUUUUCGAGUGGACAAGUAUCUGCUGUAUACUUGCCUCGUGUUUUUUUUUCUCUGUGACUUUAUAGUCCAGAUUUUUGUUUCCAGGGAUGACAUCAUGUGUUUUGAGCACUAUUCCCUGUGGUUGUGUUUUGUUGCGAUGACGUCCAAUUAUAUUGUUAUCAGCGACGUUUUGUUCUGCGGUUUUAUAACCCAGGCAUUUUUAUUUUAUUUUAGCAAAUAAUGUUAGUUAUGGCCGAAAUAGCCUAACAACGUUUUGGAAAAAGAACGAGUAGAAUUGCAUGUCAAGUUCUACUUUACUGGGGAAAUCGAGUACCACUGGUUCACAGUUGGGACUUUAUGGGGAAUUUUGGAUGCUCGGACAGGAGAGAUUUUUUUUGGCUGGUAGAACAUCAGUCCUGGUAGAUGGAUUAUUUUGGUUUGGUAUUGCUUUUGUGAAAGUUUAGUUAUAGUUAGUAAGUUAGUUUUUUUUCUCAAUUGGACUUUUUGGGGGUCUUUCUGGUGUAAAGAUUCAUUUUUUUUUUUCUCUUUUUCAGUUUGUAGUUCGCUGAGGGCAGCUCAGAUUCUUUCUCCGUGCGAAUGUCUAGGGGGGAGGGUAUUGUAACGUUGCCGUUUGCUGUUUUUUCACAAAUUAAUAUUUCUUCUCAAUAUUCUGAUUUUGGAUACCACUGGCGACAUCUAUUGGCGUGAUUUAGAAUUAAUUUGCAAUAGAUGGCGCUUUUUGCUCAGUUAAUUGAAAUAUACUUUGAUGAAACAUUUCCUAGUGUUUUUAUAUUGAUUAUUCUAUUUUUCAAGUAGAAUAUUUUCAGUGUUCUGGAAAUUGUUUUCAUCAUGGUUUUAUUAGUACAGUAUUUACUUUUUCAAACGGCGAAACGAAACGUAUCGCGAUGUCUAUGACAGAGCGGCUGUCAGUGGAGCUGUCAAAUGACUUAGGAAUUUGUCGAUCGUGCGCAACCGCAAUUUGAUUAUUUUCGGGAAUGUAAUUCCUUUUAUUUCAAAUCGGGUGGUGCAAAAUGCAUCCACGAUAAUUUCUUGAUGAAUAAAUAAAAAUAACACACAUGAGAGAUUCCCUAAAUUCUAUUCGGAUGAGGGUAUUGGGUUGCUGAGGGCUGCGAGCGAAGCUCAAAUUAGUGAACAGCCUUCGUAAGUAUUUCUUUCCCAUUGCGGUUUUUUUCAUAACCUAAUGCCACGUUCCACAUGUGAUGCUGACACACGUAUUUUUCGUUUCAGAUGCGGGAUUUCAUAGAUUUCAUAUUUUACAUGUUGAUAUUUCAUAUAUUUUAAUUUCUCUUCAUUUCGUAUCAAAUAUUUGUCCUUUCUAAACUGCUGAUCUCUUCGCAUUUCCUCCUUGUCAUCAAACCUCUGUCUCUGCAAGAGUUUGAACGCUUACCUGUCGAAGAGAUGCAAGAGCUUCAUCUGGCACUGCGCGCUUGAGGCCGUGGAGGACGCUGCUUGGAGCCUAAAAGUGUGCGAGACCCGUUGGACCCCGGAAGAAGAGAGGAACGUUCAGGGUAACGGCUUAUAACCGCAUGGCUUCCAAGGUACCCACUUUUCCAUCCUUCAAGUAGGAGUCUUUCCGACCUGACAUCGUGCAGUUAUCUUAACUAUUAGAGUCUUUUAAUAUUUAGGCUGAGUUUUAAGAAAUUUGUAGUGGCAAUAAUAUUCACCAAACCGAACCUAAUUAACGACCCUGAAUCCCUUGAGAUUGGCACUAUUACAGUAGUUAUUAUAAUAUCGUAAUUGUUAACUAUAUAGGAGCAUACGAGAUAAAAAUAAAUUGUGUCAAUUGA